AUUGAACGCUGGCGGCAUGCCUUACACAUGCAAGUCGAACGGCAGCACGGGAGCAAUCCUGGUGGCGAGUGGCGAACGGGUGAGUAAUAUAUCGGAACGUGCCCGGUCGUGGGGGAUAACGUAGCGAAAGCUACGCUAAUACCGCAUACGAUCUACGGAUGAAAGCGGGGGAUCGCAAGACCUCGCGCGAUUGGAGCGGCCGAUAUCAGAUUAGGUAGUUGGUGAGGUAAAGGCUCACCAAGCCGACGAUCUGUAGCUGGUCUGAGAGGACGACCCAGCCACACUGGGACUGAGACACGGCCCAGACUCCUACGGGAGGCAGCAGUGGGGAAUUUUGGACAAUGGGCGCAAGCCUGAUCCAGCAAUGCCGCGUGCAGGAUGAAGGCCUUCGGGUUGUAAACUGCUUUGUACGGAACGAAACGGUGAGCUCUAAUACAGUUUGCUAAUGACGGUACCGUAAGAAUAAGCACCGGCUAACUACGUG
rnacentral:rRNA from 1 species